AGUAAAUAGAUACCCGGGUAGUCCACGCCGUAAACGAUGAGUACUAGGUGUAGGAGGUAUCGACUCCUUCUGUGCCGCAGUUAAACACAAUAAGUACUCCGCCUGGGAAGUACGGUCGCAAGAUUAAAACUCAAAGGAAUUGACGGGGGCCCGCACAAGCAGCGGAGCAUGUGGUUUAAAUUCGAAGCAACGCGAAGAACCUUACCUAGACUUGACAUCCCCUGAAUAACGUAGGGAUACGCGAAGCCCUUCGGGGCAGGGAGACAGGUGGUGCAUGGUUGUCGUCAGCUCGUGUCGUGAGAUGUUGGGUUAAGUCCCGCAACGAGCGCAACCCUUAUCAUUAGUUGCUACCAUUUAGUUGAGCACUCUAGUGAGACUGCCCGGGUUAACCGGGAGGAAGGCGGGGAUGACGUCAAAUCAUCAUGCCCCUUACGUCUAGGGCUACACACGUGCUACAAUGGUGAGAACAACGAGAUGCAAUACCGCGAGGUGGAGCAAAACUUCAAAACUCAUCUCAGUUCGGAUUGUAGGCUGAAACUCGCCUAC
rnacentral:rRNA from 1 species